CUCAAACUAACCCUAACCCUGCAUUCCAUUGUUUCCAUCAUGGGAAAUCUAAGUGACGCUCUCAAAUUAACAGGAACAUUGCGCAGAAGAUAUGUCCUGGGCAAUGGACUGAGAAAACGGGCAGAGAUUUGGAGGUAUUUGUGCAUGCUCUAUAUUACAGUUGAAAAGUGUAUAACAGCUUUCCAAUGCUGUUACUUGUGGCGAACACCUUUUUGCUUGAGUUGAUGCGUGCCCGCAGGUGGAAUAAUGUCACAUGUCACACACAUUUUCUGUCGUUUUGAUUUAUUUACUCAUUCAUCAUUUUAUGUGCGCACCUCUCCUAAUCAACCCACCCAUUAAAUAGACAGGCACAAUAGCACCAUCUGCUGGCACAAAAAAUACAUAACAAUAAACUGCAAAACCCCAAUCUGGCUCCUACAAAGUGUAUGUGACAAGAUGAUUAACGUUUGCUUUUGUUAAAUCAGGGCUUCCCCAGCCAGGACUUCGGCUCAGACUGUGGCAUAUUCAUGUUGAUGGUAGGUCAUAACGAGCUGUAAUGCACAAAUAUUGUAUCUAGAAUAACUUUCCAACAUGGACUUUUUUAAAGUUAUCUCACAUGUUGUCUCAUAAUUUUUUUUAAGUCUGCCAUGUACAUCGUUAUGGAGUCACAGUUUGACUACUCAGUUGUAAGUACUUUUCAACACGCAGUGUCAUCCUCAAGAUUGUAUUUUGUAUUGUGCACUAAAAUGAAAUACAAACAACAAUUUCAGCAUGACAUGCCUGUUUGGCGGCGAUGGUGGUGCCUGUUGCUCCUGGAGAACAAUUCUUUGAACAGGUAGACAGUUUAAGUAAACUAGAUGUCCUAAUUAACUGGAAGACAAUCAAUAUAUUGUACUCAAAGACAUAUUGUCAUUACAGUUGUGGGAAAAUCUUCGCCCACUGGACCAAAGAAUGUCAAGAGCUCAUUGCUGGAAAGCAUACUCCGGUCUUCAGUCUAAAGAGGAAGGCAGAGCAGCAGGACAUAGAGGUUAGAAAAUUGCCUUGUAAAAACAGUAUUAUCUCAGUGGGAGUCCUUCAAAAUGCACACAGUUGUAUGGAUCAACAUCGUCUCGAUGUAUUUGGUAAUUGAUGUUACUUUUCAAAUUGCCUUGUCAAGGAAACCAUGACGCAGACGGUAUCGGAUGUCCAAAGAAUGUGCAUGGCAGAUUCAAUGCAAUUCUGUGUCUACCAGACAUCGAACAACACAGGAGAGAGGUGUGUUG